CAUAGUAACAAGACACAACCUUGUUGAUCUAAAACAGUCUGGAAUGCUAAGAAAAAAGACGAUUCACAUGGGAAAAGGUCUUACAUUUCCUUCUGUUGCUACUGAUGAAAAUGAUCUUCAGUAAAGAAAAAGACCCAGACCCACAGACAGCAUCACCAGAAACAAACUGGCAGGGAUCAGACACUGCAUUGUAAAGAUUAAGCAGCACUGGGCCCCAACACAGAUGGGACUGUGACCUACAGGAAGAUCUGCAGUCAGAGCCAGUACUUCAGACUACUGCCAGCAGAGACAAGGGGCCAUGAGGGCUCGAGUUUUCUCCUCCAAAUCUUGGUCGAUGGCAAAAAUGAUCUUGGCCCGCUCCUCUGCCUUCUUGUCUCCGGAGUUCCUGAAGAGCCUCUGCAGGGACUCCUGGUCUAUGUUCUCAAAGAUGUUGCCCACAGCUUUCUUGCGAGCGGCUGUGUCGAAGUGGUAGCCGUGGAUGGACGGGCUUACUCGAAGAGACGAGGACAUGCUGGUGGCUUGAUGGCUUGGCUUGGCUUUCAUCGAUGUGGGUCUUCCACGGCUCAGCUUGGGCACUUCCAGGGGAGUCUGUUGUAAAAAUCGUCCCAGGACGGCUAUUUAAAGGGUGAACAAAGCUCGGGACUCAAAUUACACUGGUGACGUCACAUUGAUCCCAGGGAGGAAAAAACCACAGAACAUUAACAGUUGCCUUGCCAAAGAUCUGGCUCCGGAUGCUAGAAUGCAUUUCAAAGCUUGUUUAGAGAUAGCUGUCUAGAAGCUUGCCUCUUUACACCUCAGACGGCAUUGUGCCUUACAAACUGGCUCUUCCUUCCAGAAGCUGAAAUCAGGAGAGAGAGAAAAAAAAAGGCUCCAAAUCUUUGCCUACGAUUGAAACAAGGAGUUCUGCCAAGCUCAACAGAGUUUCAAUUAGUACAAAAGUUUUAAAGUGUGGGCCAGACCCUGGCAGCCUAGGUCUGUGUGCCUUUUGCCUGUCCCUAUCAGGGUGAGGGUGAGGAAGUCAGAAGAAAAAAAAAAAAAAAAUGCUUGGGAGGACAGGACGUCUGACUCUAGAGCUAAAGUUUGCUGACAGAAUACUGACAUGGCUCAGCCCGAAAGCACAAAUCUCAAACUGUACCUGAGUGCUGUAUGUAAUUUCUGCUGGGAACUGCAAUUUAAACAGUAAUAGCGGCAGAUGGUAGCUCCCCAGCUUGUGUAAGUAUUGACAGCAACGACUAUUCAAAAGCAAGGAGCAAAGGUUAAUGGUGGUGCUGUGGGUACUUAAUGCCCACAAGGAAUGAGCUGACCUUUUGUUUUGAAGGCUACUUUGGAGUCACUCAGCAUUAUCAGAAUGCUGCAAUCUUCAUCACAUGCUUUUAAUCUAUUACUUUUGCUAUCCACAAGACUCAGAUACGUACAGCUGUUCUGUGCUAAAAGUUACCUUCCUCUGACCUAGAGAUUCCUCUUUAUGAUUCAAAUCUCUACUCUCCUUUCUGGUCCUCCAAGAAACUAGAAUGGACUUUUUAUGUUAUUUCACUUAUAGUCAAGAAAAUCACACGCCUAUAACCCCAUCUGUCUUAGAAGGCUGAGGCAGGCUAGCAAGCUGCAGGACAGACUGAACUACACAGGAAUGCCCUGUCUCAGAAUUACAUUAAAUGAAUAAAAUAG
rnacentral:lncRNA from 1 species